rnacentral:rRNA from 1 species
GACGAACGCUGGCGGCGUGCCUAAUACAUGCAAGUCGGGCGAAGUUUUUCUGGUGCUUGCACUAGAAAAACUUAGCGGCGAACGGGUGGGUAACACGUAAAGAACCUGCCUCAUAGACUGGGACAACUAUUGGAAACGAUAGCUAAUACCGGAUAACAGUAUUUCUCGCAUGAGAGAUAUUUAAAAGUUGGUUAUGCUAACACUAUGAGAUGGCUUUGCGGUGCAUUAGCUAGUUGGUGGGGUAAAGGCCCACCAAGGCGACGAUGCAUAGCCGACCUGAGAGGGUGAUCGGCCACACUGGGACUGAGACACGGCCCAGACUCCUACGGGAGGCAGCAGUAGGGAAUCUUCCGCAAUGGGCGAAAGCCUGACGGAGCAACGCCGCGUGAGUGAAGAAGGAUUUCGGUUCGUAAAGCUCUGUUGUUAGGGAAGAAUGGAUAUGUAGUAACUAUACAUGUAAGAGACGGUACCUAACCAGAAAGCCACGGCUAACUACGUG